rnacentral:rRNA from 1 species
ACGUAGGGUGCGAGCGUUAAUCGGAAUUACUGGGCGCAAAGGGUCCGCAGGCGGGUCGCCAAGUCCGGCGUGAAAGCUCCCGGCUCAACUGGGAGAGGGCGUUGGAAACUGGUGGUCUUGAAUCUCAGAGAGGUCGGUGGAAUUCCCGGUGUAGUGGUGGAAUGCGUAGAGAUCGGGAGGAACCUCGAAAGCGAAGGCAACCGGCUGGCUGAAGAUUGACGCUGAGGGACGAAAGCGUGGGGAGCGAACAGGA